rnacentral:rRNA from 1 species
UACGAAGGGUGCUAGCGUUGUUCGGAAUUAUUGGGCGUAAAGCGUACGUAGGCGGCUUAGUAAGUCGAUUGUGAAAGCCCCGAGCUCAACUCGGGAACUGCAAUCGAUACUGCUUCGCUGGAGUUUAGUGGGGGAUGGUAGAAUUUCUAGUGUAGGGGUGAAAUCCGUAGAUAUUAGAAGGAAUACCAGUGGCGAAGGCGACCAUCUACGCUAAUACUGACGCUAAGGUACGAAAGCGUGGGGAGCAAACAGG